UAGUCGAAUGUGUAUGCUUAACUCUCAUUGAGAGCGUUUACGCCGAACCCCAUUUACUUGGGUAGUUGAAUGUGUAAGAAAGAAGAAAGCUCCUAUAUGAAUAGAACUAAAAUGAAGUAAUUAUGAUUCGACAACUAAGAUGACUAACCUUAAAACCUUGUUGCUGAAGGUAGGUAAAACUAUAAGUUUUUGUUAAACACAUGUAAGAAAGAAAAGGUAAGAGUGACAUGUUUGAAACCGCUAGAUGGAUUCAAACAUAGAAGGAAUGAAGGGUAUGGAUGUUACGUUUAAAUCCGUGGGACGGAUUUAAAACGUAAAAGGAUGUAAUGAAUGCCUUUAUAGGUAAGCAUUAAUAUAGGUUUGAAUAUAUAGGGACGAUGAACUAUUACUAGUCGGUCAAGGAAAUAAGAACGUUAUAUGAAAGUAUACCAUGAAAAGUACAGCCUUGUUAAGAAGAAGAAGCCAAUUACAUGAAUAAUUAUGAAAUGAGUUAGGAUGAUUACUUAUGAAUGUGAUGAGGGUGUUAAGCCAAACAUAAAUGUGUGUGUGUGUAGAGGAAAUGAGAAAGGUUUCGGGGACGAAACCUUAUUUAAGGGGGGUAGAUUUGUAACACCCCAAAACCCGAAUAUUUAUAUUCGUUAAAAUGCUGUGAUAUGGUACCUCAAGAAAUAAACAACUAGGCUAAUUAACCUACUUAGAUGUAUGGUUAAAACUAUUAAAAGAUGGAAUGUAAUAAAAUGUUUAACAAAGCAAACAAGGGAACAAACUUGAGGGACCAAAGAUGAACAAGGGGGAAAGUUAUGUCUUAAGUAACAAACACACCCACACAAGCACACACACAUUUCGUGUGUUCUAGAACGAUCAGGGGGAACUCCCCAUGAACCAAACCCUAGUUCUAACACAAUCAUCAAAUUGAGGAGUCAAAUGAAGCUCAAAUUCACAACCAAACAUGAAUUAAGGAUCACCUACUCAAGGGGAUCAUGAGGAAUCAUGUCGAGACGGAAUCAAGCACGGAUGGAUAAUGGGUCAAGAAGUGGCGAGGAAACGAAUAUGAACACGGAUGCAUGAGGUAGGUAGAACGUACGUAUGCGUUUAGAUGAAUAUGGGCUCACGAGAGGAUCCAUACACGAAGGUAUGCACGUAUGUAGGUUUGUGUGAAGGCAGGUAAUAAGUAUGUAUGUAUGUAUGUAUAUAUGUAUGCAUGUAUGUAGGUAUGUAUGUAUGUAUGUAUGUAUGAAUGUAGGUAUGUAUGUAUGUAGGUAGGAAUGGAUGUAAUUAGGUAUGCACGUACGUAGGUACGUACGUAUGUAUGCAGGUACGUAUGUAGGACAGUUGCUAUUUGUGACCGUAAAGGUAUGUAUCAGUUUGUAUGAAAGGUAUGUACGCAUGCAUCUAAUGAAAUUGAGUACUAACGGUAAUGGUUGCGUGCUUGGUGAAUGAAGUGUAACGCAGGAAUACCAAAGAAGUCUCACUACGGAUCAUAUGAUCAGGAUGGGAACGCUGGGAUGUAAAGAGUUAACGAAACGAGAAGUAAACGUGAACAAACCUUGUAUGUUUAUAACGCGUACUAAUGAUGUGUAAUUUUAUGUGGUGAGCGCAGGUAGUACCAGUCAUGAGGAUAUCCAAGGAUUGGAGACCGAAGAUCGAGUCACUAGAGAGAUUGUACGGAAACGUUGAUGUACAUAAUGUAGUAAACAUAAGCUAUGUCUUUAACUAAUAAAUAAGAGGAUGACGGAUUUAUGAGAAAGAACUGUGUUAAAGUUAAAUCUUAAAUAAGUUGAGGUAUUUAUAGUGAAAGAAAUUUUAUGGUA